GACGAACGCUGGCGGCGUGCUUAACACAUGCAAGUCGAAGAUAGUGGCGAACGGGUGAGUAAUACGUGGGUAACCUGCCCUCCUUUUUGGGAUAAGCCUUGGAAACGGGGUCUAAUACCGAAUAAAGGGGGAUGGGCGCGCGGCCUAUCAGCUUGUUGGUGGGGUGAUGGCCUUACAAGGCGGUGACGGGUAGCCGGCCUGGGAGGGUGACCGGGAACAUUGAGACUGUGAUACGGCCCAGGCUCCGACGGGGUGGAGCAGUGGGGGAUAUGGCACAAUGGGCGAAGGCCUGAUGCAGCGACGCCGCGUGGGGGAUGAGGGCUGUAGGGUUGUAAACCUAUGUCGCAAUCGAACGGGUAGGUGAAGAAGAAGCGCCGGCUAACUACGUGCCAGCAGCCGCGGUAAUAC
rnacentral:rRNA from 1 species